rnacentral:rRNA from 1 species
UACGUAGGGGGCUAGCGUUGUCCGGAAUCAUUGGGCGUAAAGCGCGUGUAGGCGGCCCGGUAAGUCCGCUGUGAAAGUCGGGGGCUCAACCCUCGGAUGCCGGUGGAUACUGUCGGGCUAGAGUGCGGAAGAGGCGAGUGGAAUUCCUGGUGUAGCGGUGAAAUGCGUGAGAUAUCUGGAGGAACACCGGUGGCGAAGGCGGCAUCCUGGACCGACACUGACGCGUGAGGCGGCGAAAGCUAGGGGAGCAAACGGG